UAGUCCACGCCGUAAACGAUGUCAACUAGCCGUUGGGAGCAUAUAAGCUCUGAGUGGCGCAGCUAACGCGAUAAGUUGACCGCCUGGGGAGUACGCCGGCAACGGUAAAACUCAAAGGAAUUGACGGGGGCCCGCUCAAGCGGUGGAGCAUGUGGUUUAAUUCGAUGAUACGCGAGGAACCUUACCUAGGCUAUAAUGUGAGCGCUAUCUGGUGAAAGCCGGAGUUCCUUCGGGACGCGAAACAAGGUGCUGCAUGGUUGUCGUCAGCUCGUGUCGUGAGAUGUUGGGUUAAGUCCCGCAACGAGCGCAACCCUUGUCUUUAGUUGCCAUCAUUUAGUUGGGCACUCUAGAGAAACUGCCGGUGACAAACCGGAGGAAGGUAAGGAUGACGUCAAGUCAGCAUGCCCCUUACGCUCUGGGCUACACACGUGCUACAAUGGUCAUGACAAAGAGUUGCUAGUCUGCGAAGGCAAGCCAAUCUCAUAAACGCGGCCUUAGUUCGGA
rnacentral:rRNA from 1 species